rnacentral:rRNA from 1 species
UAGUGUGCUUGCACAUUAUUUUAGUGGCGAACGGGUGAGUAAUGCCUAGGAAUCUGCCCAUUAGCGGGGGAUAACGUGUGGAAACGCACGCUAAUACCGCAUACGCCCUACGGGGGAAAGCAGGGGACUCUUUUAGAGCCUUGCACUAAUGGAUGAGCCUAGGUCGGAUUAGCUAGUUGGUGGGGUAAAGGCCUACCAAGGCGACGACCUGUAGCGGGUCUGAGAGGAUGAUCCGCCACACUGGAACUGAGACACGGUCCAGACUCCUACGGGAGGCAGCAGUGGGGAAUAUUGGACAAUGGGGGCAACCCUGAUCCAGCCAUGCCGCGUGUGUGAAGAAGGCCUUUUGGUUGUAAAGCACUUUAAGCGAGGAGGAGGCUACCUGUAUUAAUACUAUAGGCUAGUGGACGUUACUCGCAGAAUAAGCACCGGCUAACUCUGUGCCAGCAGCCGCGGUAAUACAGAGGGUGCGAGCGUUAAUCGGAAUUACUGGGCGUAAAGCGCGCGUAGGCGGUUUGUUAAGUCGGAUGUGAAAUCCCCGGGCUCAACCUGGGAAUUGCAUUCGAUACUGGCAAGCUAGAGUAUGGGAGAGGAAGGUAGAAUUCCAGGUGUAGCGGUGAAAUGCGUAGAGAUCUGGAGGAAUACCGAUGGCGAAGGCAGCCUUCUGGCCUAAUACUGACGCUGAGGUGCGAAAGCAUGGGGAGCAAACAGGAUUAGAUACCCUGGUAGUCCAUGCCGUAAACGAUGUCAACUAGCCGUUGGGGGAUUUGAUCCUUUAGUGACGCAGCUAACGCGAUAAGUUGACCGCCUGGGGAGUACGGUCGCAAGACUAAAACUCAAAUGAAUUGACGGGGGCCCGCACAAGCGGUGGAGCAUGUGGUUUAAUUCGAUGCAACGCGAAGAACCUUACCUGUCUUGACGUAGU